CAGAGAGGAGGUUCAGGUUCACCACUGCCCUCUGUCCACUAGGUAAUCCAACCAACCUGAGGUCCCACCACUCUGCUGCUGUAACAGGAGAGAGAGAGGACCGGGCCUCAGCCACGUCAGCCCCUGAGACAUCCAAGCGGCCAUGACACCGCGGCAAACCGGUGAUGACGGAUGCCUUUUUGUCUUGUGCAGUCAGGCCGGGUCGCAGGGACGGCGGACGACUGUAAUUGCGCCGACAGGUGACACAUCUGUAGAAACCAGAAGAUGAUGGGGAGACUACUUAGAUCAUGUGACCUGCACCUCACAUGUCCCCUCCAAGUGCGGGUCCAGAGGUUCUGUUUGAAAUGGUGGUGGGCAGAAAGCGCACAGACAGACAAGUUGGGACUGGUGAUGAUGCAAACUCCUGGAUCAUCUGGCGUCGGGCGGACCACCAUCAUUUACUUCGAGAGGAGUUUCACCACGUCGGAGGAUUUUCAUGGUUUUCACCAAGCUGAGAGUUCAAGGUCGCCGUGCGGCUAUUUCCAGCUCGUCUUUGCUCUGAUCUGUGUCGCAAAAUGACAAGGUAACGCAACUCGGGGGGGUCAGCUGUGUUACAGGAACGCUUCCAUGGAUCGGCAGAGAAGAAAUCAAUCCUGCCUGACAGUGUCUUCAGGAUACUCUGACCUGACUGUGCCAUGACAACUGCACGCACACACACACACGUGGGGUGCAUCAGAGAGAUGAGGUGUCUGCCAGGAAGUCCAUCACCGACUAACUGCUUGUGAAAACCGGAGCUGACGUUGUCUGGGACGAAGGAACCAAUCGCUAAAAAACGGGGAACAACUUCAGUGCGAAGGUGUUUGGCUUGUAUAGCAACGGAGAAGACCAAACAGGAACAGCAGGCCAACAGUAUAAGGACAAGCACCUGGGAAAGCACAAUGCAGGAAGAACAAGGGUUUCCCGCGUGUGCCUUCCCCAGCGGACUACCACGGCCGAAUAUUAGGUCUUCAUUCUCCGGGUCUUCAUCGGACGGGCUGAGGCGACGACGGCCAGGAAUCUAACGCUGAAGCUUACACUGAGACCAACGCUUCAAAGCCUGCCUGGCCUUUGUGGCAACUGAGGUGGCUCCGGCCAAUCCCCCGACUGCAGCUGACGAGGCCGCUAGGGUUGUGAUUGGUUCAAUCAUCUCUUCGCCACCUGCGCACAAUAGGGACACAAGUCCACACUGAUUAACGCACUUCUGCCUAAUUGUCACAUGACUGACAAAAAAAACCUUAUUUGAUAGUUAUUUUAAGCUCUGCAUAGACUUUGUUUGUACUUUGACUAUUUUCAUAAUAAAUACU